UACGUAGGGUGCGAGCGUUGCCCGGAUUUAUUGGGCGUAAAGGGCGCGUAGGCGGCUACGCACGUCCGUUGUGAAAUCGCUCGGCUCAACUGGGGAGGGUCACGCGAUACUGAUCGACUCGAAGGCAGGAGAGGGAAGUGGAAUUCCCGGUGUAGUGGUGAAAUGCGUAGAUAUCGGGAGGAACACCAGUGGCGAAGGCGACUUCCUGGCCUGUUCUUGACGCUGAGGCGCGAAAGCUAGGGGAGCAAACGGG
rnacentral:rRNA from 1 species